UACGGAGGAUGCAAGCGUUAUCCGGAUUUAUUGGGUUUAAAGGGUCCGUAGGCGGGCUAAUAAGUCAGUGGUGAAAUCGAGCAGCUUAACUGUUCAACUGCCAUUGAAACUGUUGGUCUUGAGUGAAUUUGAAGUUGCCGGAAUAUGUAGUGUAGCGGUGAAAUGCAUAGAUAUUACAUAGAACACCAAUUGCGAAGGCAGGUAACUAAGAUUUAACUGACGCUGAUGGACGAAAGCGUGGGGAGCGAACAGGAUUAGAUACA
rnacentral:rRNA from 1 species